UACGUAGGGUGCAAGCGUUGUCCGGAAUUAUUGGGCGUAAAGAGCUCGUAGGCGGUUUUGUUGCGUCGGCUGUGAAAUCCCGAGGCUCAACCUCGGGUCUGCAGUCGAUACGAGCAAACUAGAGUGUUGCAGGGGAGACUGGAAUUCCUGGUGUAGCGGUGAAAUGCGCAGAUAUCAGGAGGGAACACCGGUGGGCGAAGGCGGGGCCUCUGGGCAACAACUGAC
rnacentral:rRNA from 1 species